rnacentral:rRNA from 1 species
AACGAACGCUGGCGGCAGGCCUAACACAUGCAAGUCGAGCGCCCCGCAAGGGGAGCGGCGGACGGGUGAGUAACACGUGGGAACGUACCCUUUGCUACGGAAUAGUCUCGGGAAACUGGGGGUAAUACCGUAUGUGCCCUUCGGGGGAAAGAUUUAUCGGCAAAGGAUCGGCCCGCGUUGGAUUAGGUAGUUGGUGGGGUAAUGGCCUACCAAGCCGACGAUCCAUAGCUGGUUUGAGAGGAUGAUCAGCCACACUGGGACUGAGACACGGCCCAGACUCCUACGGGAGGCAGCAGUGGGGAAUCUUAGACAAUGGGCGCAAGCCUGAUCUAGCCAUGCCGCGUGAGCGAUGAAGGCCUUAGGGUUGUAAAGCUCUUUCAGUGGGGAAGAU